GAGUUUGAUCGUGGCUCAGGAUGAACGCUAGCUACAGGCUUAACACAUGCAAGUCGAGGGGCAUCAGGAAGAAAGCUUGCUUUCUUUGCUGGCGACCGGCGCACGGGUGAGUAACACGUAUCCAACCUGCCCUUUACUCGGGGAUAGCCUUUCGAAAGAAAGAUUAAUACCCGAUAGCAUAAUGAUUCCGCAUGGUUUCAUUAUUAAAGGAUUCCGGUAAAGGAUGGGGAUGCGUUCCAUUAGGUUGUUGGUGAGGUAACGGCUCACCAAGCCUUCGAUGGAUA
rnacentral:rRNA from 1 species